UACGUAGGGUGCAAGCGUUGUCCGGAAUUAUUGGGCGUAAAGAGCUCGUAGGCGGUCUGUCGCGUCGGCUGUGAAAUCCCGAGGCUCAACCUCGGGUCUGCAGUCGAUACGGGCAAACUAGAGUAUUGCAGGGGAGACUGGAAUUCCUGGUGUAGCGGUGAAAUGCGCAGAUAUCAGGAGGAACACCGGUGGCGAAGGCGGGUCUCUGGACAAUAACUGACGCUGAGGAGCGAAAGCGUGGGGAGCAAACAGG
rnacentral:rRNA from 1 species